GACGGAGGGUGCAAGCGUUGUUCGGAAUUACUGGGCGUAAAGGGCGCGUAGGCGGUCUGUUAAGUUCGGUGUGAAAGCCCCCGGCUCACCUGGGGAACUGCGCCGGAAACCGACAGACUCGAGUACCGGAGAGGAGGGUGGAAUUCCUGGUGUAGCGGUGAAAUGCGCAGAUAUCAGGAGGAACACCGGUGGCGAAGGCGGGUCUCUGGGCCGAUAUUGACGCUGAGGAGCGAAAGCGUGGGGAGCGAACAGG
rnacentral:rRNA from 1 species